rnacentral:tRNA from 1 species
GGGUUAAUAAUGUAAAAGCAUACCUUUCCAGCAAUAAGGAAGUAUUAUAUAAUCCA